rnacentral:lncRNA from 1 species
UGCAGUCAACACUUAUGCUGCUCCCAUUGCAGCCGCCUCUUGGCAAAUCCAGCGCAAUACAUACUCCUACUAGAGGUCCCCUAACCAGCACACAGGCGGUGUGAUGAGGAGGCCACACUUUGCAUUGCUGGGAGGAAACCUGAUCCAUGCAGGGACCCUUUCCGCUCGAGUGAUGUGCCAGGGCUUGGCUGGAUGCAGCCCUGCGGAGGAAAGAGGUAAGCCAGGAUUAGCAGUGCUGAAGAGGAACAAAAUAUAAUUGAUGUGAACUUAAAGGUAAGGAAGAAUCAUUUCAGGCAUAUUACUUCUCAGAAUUUUGGCAACACAGAAAGCCUUCACUUUCUAGCAAUUCAAUUUCUUGCAAUUGCAGUAAUCUGCUUGAGACUCAGAAACAGAACUACUGCUCAUAGAACCAUUUUUCAUCUUCUCAGCCUUCUUUGAUGUCUGAGAAGCAAAAAGUAGGGACGAGGAGGAGCAGAGGAGGAGACAGGUGGG